UACGGAGGAUGCAAGCGUUAUCCGGAAUGAUUGGGCGUAAAGCGUCCGCAGGUGGCUAUGUAAGUCUGCUGUUAAAGAGCGAGGCUCAACCUUGUAAAGGCAGUGGAAACUACAUGGCUAGAGUGCGUUCGGGGCAGAGGGAAUUCCUGGUGUAGCGGUGAAAUGCGCAGAUAUCAGGAGGAACACCGGUGGCGAAGGCGCUCAUCUGGCCCAAUACUGACGCUGAGGCGCGAAAGCUAGGGGAGCAAACGGG
rnacentral:rRNA from 1 species